UACGGGAGGCAGCAGUGGGGAAUAUUGCACAAUGGGCGCAAGCCUGAUGCAGCCAUGCCGCGUGUAUGAAGAAGGCCUUCGGGUUGUAAAGUACUUUCAGUCGUGAGGAAGGUGUUAAGGUUAAUAACCUUAGCAAUUGACGUUAGCGACAGAAGAAGCACCGGCUAACUCCGUGCCAGCAGCCGCGGUAAUACGGAGGGUGCGAGCGUUAAUCGGAAUUACUGGGCGUAAAGGGCACGCAGGCGGUUAAUUAAGUUGGAUGUGAAAUCCCCGGGCUUAACCUGGGAACGGCAUUCAAGACUGGUUAGCUAGAGUCUUGUAGAGGGGGUAGAAUUCCAUGUGUAGCGGUGAAAUGCGUAGAGAUGUGGAGGAAUACCGGUGGCGAAGGCGGCCCCUGGACAAAGACUGACGCUCAUGUGCGAAAGCGUGGGGAGCAAACGAGGGAUUAGAUACC
rnacentral:rRNA from 1 species